GGUGCCAUGGUCUAGUGGUAUGACGAGACAUUGUGGUGUUAGUUCUGUCUUAGCCCCGGUUCGAUUCCGGGUGGCGCCA
rfam:Penicillium italicum strain PHI-1 contig1237, whole genome shotgun sequence.